AGUGAACGCUGGCGGUAGGCCUAACACAUGCAAGUCGAACGGCAGCACAGUAAGAGCUUGCUCUUACGGGUGGCGAGUGGCGGACGGGUGAGGAAUACAUCGGAAUCUACUUUUUCGUGGGGGAUAACGUAGGGAAACUUACGCUAAUACCGCAUACGACCUACGGGUGAAAGCAGGGGAUCUUCGGACCUUGCGCGAUUGAAUGAGCCGAUGUCGGAUUAGCUAGUUGGCGGGGUAAAGGCCCACCAAGGCGACGAUCCGUAGCUGGUCUGAGAGGAUGAUCAGCCACACUGGAACUGAGACACGGUCCAGGCUCCUACGGGAGGCAGCAGUGGGGAAUAUUGGACAAUGGGCGCAAGCCUGAUCCAGCCAUACCGCGUGGGUGAAGAAGGCCUUCGGGUUGUAAAGCCCUUUUGUUGGGAAAGAAAAGCAGCAGGUUAAUACCCCGCUGUUCUGACGGUACCCAAAGAAUAAGCACCGGCUAACUUC
rnacentral:rRNA from 1 species